rnacentral:rRNA from 1 species
UACAGAGGGUGCUAGCGUUGUUCGGAAUCAUUGGGCGUAAAGGGCGUGUAGGCGGUUUGUUAAGUCAUGUGUGAAAUCCCUCGGCUCAACCGGGAAACGACGCAUGAAACUGGCAAGCUAGAGUACCAAAGAGGGGGUGGAAUUCCCGGUGUAGCGGUGAAAUGCGUAGAUAUGCGGAGGAACACCGAUGGCGAAGGCAAUCCCCUGGGCCUGCACUGACGCUCAUGCACGAAAGCGUGGGGAGCAAACAGG